rnacentral:misc_RNA from 1 species
GUCUUUACAGUUAUUGAUUUCAUUCAGCCAUUUUUAUUUUGGGUAGUAUUCAUCUUUUACUGCUGCAUUUGAAAUGUCAGCUUCUCAAUUCAAAUGCAACCUUUGACAGUUUUAUAUGUUUAGAUAAGGGGCCAUAGUUUGGGAAAGCUCAUGGAGUAACACUUUUAAUUGCUUUGGAGCUAGCUAUAAUAUAUAACUUCCAAAUAUUAUUCCAUUGAGUCUAGAUCUAUGAGGUGCAGGCCUUGAAGGUUAAAGGUUGAUCUAUUGGCAAAGAUAA